UACGUAGGGGGCAAGCGUUGUCCGGAAUCAUUGGGCGUAAAGAGCGUGUAGGCGGUCCGAUAAGUCGGUUGUGAAAGUCAAGGGCUCAACCCUUGAAUGCCGACCGAUACUGUCGGGCUAGAGUCCGGAAGAGGUGAGUGGAAUUCCUGGUGUAGCGGUGAAAUGCGUAGAUAUCGAGAGGAACACCUGCGGCGAAGGCGGGUUGCUGGGCUGACACUGACGCUGAGGCGCGAAAGCCAGGGGAGCGAACGGG
rnacentral:rRNA from 1 species